rnacentral:tRNA from 1 species
GCUUAAGUGGCAGAAACUGGAAAUUGCAAAAGACCUAAGCCCUUUAUACAGAAGUUCAAAUCCUCUCUUAAGCU